rnacentral:rRNA from 1 species
GAACGCUGGCGGCGUGCCUAACACAUGCAAGUCGAACGGAGUAUAUUCGCUGCAGAGAUUUCGGUCGAAGCUUGAGUAUACUUAGUGGCGGACGGGUGAGUAACGCGUGGGCAACCUGCCUCAUACUGGGGGAUAGCAGUUGGAAACGACUGAUAAUACCGCAUAAGCGCACGGAGUCGCAUGACUUUGUGUGAAAAACUCCGGUGGUAUGAGAUGGGCCCGCGUCAGAUUAGCCAGUUGGCAGGGUAACGGCCUACCAAAGCGACGAUCUGUAGCCGGCCUGAGAGGGCGGACGGCCACAUUGGGACUGAGACACGGCCCAAACUCCUACGGGAGGCAGCAGUGGGGGAUAUUGCACAAUGGAGGAAACUCUGAUGCAGCAACGUCGCGUGAAGUGAAGAAGUAUUUCGGUAUGUAAAGCUCUAUCAGCAGGGAAGAAAGGCUCCGCAAGGAGAGAUGACGGUACCUGACUAAGAAGCCCCGGCUAACUACGUGCCAGCCGCAGC